UACGGAGGAUUCAAGCGUUAUCCGGAUUUAUUGGGUUUAAAGGGUGCGCAGGCGGAUUUUUAAGUCAGCGGUCAAAUCGUGGGGCUCAACCCCAUCCAGCCGUUGAAACUGGGGAUCUAGAGUGUGCGAGAGGUAAGCGGAAUGCGUGGUGUAGCGGUGAAAUGCAUAGAUAUCACGCAGAACGCCGAUUGCGAAGGCAGCUUACCGGCGCUCAACUGACGCUGAGGCACGAAAGUGCGGGUAUCGAACAGG
rnacentral:rRNA from 1 species